rnacentral:rRNA from 1 species
GAUGAACGCUGACAGAAUGCUUAACACAUGCAAGUCUACUUGAACUUCGGUUUGGGUGGCGGACGGGUGAGUAACGCGUAAAGAACUUGCCUCACAGUUAGGGACAACAUUUGGAAACGAAUGCUAAUACCUGAUAUUAUGAUUUUAGGGCAUCCUAGGAUUAUGAAAGCUAUAUGUGCUGUGAGAGAGCUUUGCGUCCCAUUAGCUAGUUGGAGAGGUAACGGCUCACCAAGGCGAUGAUGGUAGCCGGCCUGGGAGGGUGAACGGCAACAAGGGGACUGAGACACGGCCCUUACUCCUACGGGAGGCAGCAGUGGGGAAUAUUGGACAAUGGACCAAAAGUCUGAUCCAGCAAUUCUGUGUGCACGAUGACGUUUUUCGGAAUGUAAAGUGCUUUCAGUUGGGAAGAAAAAAAUGACGGUACCAACAGAAGAAGUGACGGCUAAAUACGUG